CGGCCACCAAUUUUCUCUCUCAAGUGUGAGAAAACCUGUUAAAAACGGAGCCCAGAAAAUUAUACUACAAAACCCAGAACUGAAGUAAAAGAAAAGGAGGCUAAAGUCUUUUAUAUUACAAGAAAGGGGAGGAAUGAAAUGUUAGGAGCCAACGGAAAAAUUCUUUCUUUUUGAGGUGUGUGUGAUCUUCGGUAAUUAUGG
rnacentral:misc_RNA from 1 species